GACGAACCGUGCGAACGUUAUUCGGAAUCACUGGGCUUAAAGCGCGUGUAGGCGGACGGGGACGUCGGUCGCUGAAAUCCCCCGGCUCAACCGGGAAACGGGCGCGAAACGCCCCGUCUCGAGGGACGUAGGGGGACCUGGAACUUCCGGUGGAGCGGGUGAAAUGCGUUGAGAUCGGAAGGAACGCCCGUGGCGAAAGCGAGGUCCUGGACGUCACUGACGCUGAGACGCGAAA
rnacentral:rRNA from 1 species